rnacentral:lncRNA from 1 species
CCAGCAAACAGGAAGCAUUGUCAAACAGUUUGAAAACAUUUUGAUGUUUUGAGUCCGCUUAAGUGCAGAAUUAGAUCCCUUCUUCUGGAUUUUCCAAAUGCUUUAAAUGGGAUUCCCUGCUCUUAUUGUUUAUUCCCUGCUCUAUUGUUUAUCCCUGCUCUUAUUGUUUAUUCCCUGCUCUUAUUGUUUUAUUCCCUGCUCUUAUUGUUAUUUCCCUGUUUUAUUGUUUAUUCCCUGCUCUUAUUGUUUAUUCCAUUGCUCUUAUUGUUUAUUCCCUGCUCUUAUUGUUUAUUCCCUGCUCUUAUUGUUUAUUCCCUCCUCUUAUUGUUUAUUCCCUGCUCUUAUUGUUUAUUCCCUGCUCUUUUGUGUAUUCCCUGUUCUUAUUGUUUAUUCCCUGCUCUUAUUAUUUAUUCCCUGCUCUUAUUGUUUAUUCCCUGCUCUUAUUGUUUUAUUCCUCUGCUCUUAUUGUUUAUCCUGUUCUUAUUGUUUAUUCCCUGCUCUUAUUGUUUUUCUCUGCCUCUUAUUUUUAUUCCCUGUCUUAUGUUCUUCCCUGUUCUUAUUGUUUAUUCCCUGCUCUUAUUAUUUUAUUCCAUGCCCUUAUUGUUUUGUUUUUUCCCUGCUCUUAUUGUUUAUUCCUGCUCUUAUUGUUUAUUCCCUGUUCUUAUUGUUUAUUCCCUGCUUCUUAUGUUUUUCCCUGUUCUUUUAUGUUUAUUCCCUGUUCUUUGUAUUCCUCCUCUAUUGUUUUCCCUCCUCGUAUUGUAUUCCCUCCCUUCUUGUUUAUUCCCUCCUCUUAUUGUUUAUGUCCCCCUCUAUUGUUUAUUCCUGUUCUUAUGUUUAUUCCCUGUUCUUAUUGUUAUUCCCUCUUAUG